rnacentral:rRNA from 1 species
GGCGGCGUGCCUAAUACAUGCAAGUAGAACGCUGAAGAGAGGAGCUUGCUCUUCUUGGAUGAGUUGCGAACGGGUGAGUAACGCGUAGGUAACCUGCCUUGUAGCGGGGGAUAACUAUUGGAAACGAUAGCUAAUACCGCAUAACAAUGGAUGACCCAUGUCAUUUAUUUGAAAGGGGCAAAUGCUCCACUACAAGAUGGACCUGCGUUGUAUUAGCUAGUAGGUGAGGUAACGGCUCACCUAGGCGACGAUACAUAGCCGACCUGAGAGGGUGAUCGGCCACACUGGGACUGAGACACGGCCCAGACUCCUACGGGAGGCAGCAGUAGGGAAUCUUCGGCAAUGGGGGCAACCCUGACCGAGCAACGCCGCGUGAGUGAAGAAGGUUUUCGGAUCGUAAAGCUCUGUUGUAAGUCAAGAACGAGUGUGAGAGUGGAAAGUUCACACUGUGACGGUAGCUUACCAGAAAGGGACGGCUAACUACGUGCCAGCAGCCGCGGUAAUACGUAGGUCCCGAGCGUUGUCCGGAUUUAUUGGGCGUAAAGCGAGCGCAGGCGGUUUGAUAAGUCUGAAGUUAAAGGCUGUGGCUCAACCAUAGUUCGCUUUGGAAACUGUCAAACUUGAGUGCAGAAGGGGAGAGUGGAAUUCCAUGUGUAGCGGUGAAAUGCGUAGAUAUAUGGAGGAACACCGGUGGCGAAAGCGGCUCUCUGGUCUGUAACUGACGCUGAGGUUCGAAAGCGUGGGGAGCGAACAGGAUUAGAUACCCUGGUAGUCCACGCCGUAAACGAUGAGUGCUAGGUGUUGGAUCCUUUCCGGGAUUCAGUGCCGCAGCUAACGCAUUAAGCACUCCGCCUGGGGAGUACGACCGCAAGGUUGAAACUCAAAGGAAUUGACGGGGGCCCGCACAAGCGGUGGAGCAUGUGGUUUAAUUCGAAGCAACGCGAAGAACCUUACCAGGUCUUGACAUCCCGAUGCUAUUUCUAGAGAUAGAAAGUUACUUCGGUACAUCGGUGACAGGUGGUGCAUGGUUGUCGUCAGCUCGUGUCGUGAGAUGUUGGGUUAAGUCCCGCAACGAGCGCAACCCCUAUUGUUAGUUGCCAUCAUUCAGUUGGGCACUCUAGCGAGACUGCCGGUAAUAAACCGGAGGAAGGUGGGGAUGACGUCAAAUCAUCAUGCCCCUUAUGACCUGGGCUACACACGUGCUACAAUGGUUGGUACAACGAGUUGCGAGUCGGUGACGGCAAGCUAAUCUCUUAAAGCCAAUCUCAGUUCGGAUUGUAGGCUGCAACUCGCCUACAUGAAGUCGGAAUCGCUAGUAAUCGCGGAUCAGCACGCCGCGGUGAAUACGUUCCCGGGCCUUGUACACACCGCCCGUCACACCACGAGAGUUUGUAACACCCGAAGUCGGUGAGGUAACCUUUUGGAGCCAGCCGCCUAAGGUGGGAUAGAUGAUUGGGGUG